AAAAAAAAAAAAAAAAAUUGUUACAUUUAAAUCAUGUGAUCUCAGUCUUUGAAAAGCAGGCAAUACUUUGUGCAGUAAUUCAGUCCUUAUACAGUUUUUUUUUAAACUGCCAAGAAAUUUUAUGUUAAAUAGCAUAGAUUCAACGUCAGCUUUGGAUUUGUAUAGAUGAAGGGGAAGGGUUGUUUAUGAUCCACAUGCGUCUGAGUUUUAAUGAUACUGAUAAUUCAUAAAUACCCUGGUAAUUUUCAAGUAUAUAACCAGAUUGACAUGAAUUAAAGUUACAGAUCACAUGGUGUUAACAAGUCCUGGGAUGACUGAUUCCUUGAAGAGGAUGGACCAUGGGAAUGUCCGGCUUUCAGGAAAGAAGUAAGACUGCCUGGAUGUCUGUGAUCACAGUGAAAAGCUUGGACUGACUUGGAUUAGAAUCUGGCUUCAUCAGUUUCAGUGGCUGGGAGAACCUGAAGAUGAUGGACUUCUCCCAGCUGUCACUCUCAAGGAGAAACACGAUCCUGAUUCCUACCUCACAACUGCCAAACACAAGUGUCUGCCACAUUCUCUUUCCCUUCAUCUCCCUCCUCUCUGGGGUAAAGCAAAGAUCCAAGUCCCAGCUCCCAUCCUCAAAGCCCUCAUAGUCCAGUGUAAUGGGCUGACCUGAGCAAGGAUGGCGUUUGAUGACCUUCAUGGGAUUUUCGAAUGGAGAUGGCUUCGAGCCGGGGGUCCUGGUGGUGCUGGGAAAUUGCUGAAGAGUACUCAGUGGAGGCGCAUGGGGUGGUUAAGUGACUCAGCCAGCAACACACAAUGAGUGAGGCGCAGUCCUGGAACUUGAAACCAGGCCUUCUGAUCCCAUGCCGGAGAGAGAACCAUCUGUCCCAUGGACAGUAGCUCAGUUCAGCAACAGGAAGACAUGGCUGUUGAAACAUUCCAGUGUCCACUGAGCACCAACUGUGUGACAAGACUCGCUGGGGGACUUUGGUUAGAUGUAUUGUUUCUCUGGACCUGGAGCUUCUGGGGAAGGCCAGUCUCAUGCCCAAGUCUUGGUGAGACAGCAGGUUCCACCCCUCCUGGGACCGGAGCAGCAAUCAAACAAGGCAUGAAACUGGCUCUGCUGGGGCUGCAUGGGCAGGAGGCAGGAGCUGAAGUUUUUUAACUGUUGGGCUUGUUCAUGUAAUUCAAUCAUUUAUCGGACAUUUCCUGAACUCCUGCCAUGUGCCAGGCCCUGGAGAUAUAGCAGUGAACAACAGUAAAGGUUCUCUGCCUUCGUGAAACUUACAUUCUAAUGGGAGGAGAAAGGGUAAAAUCAAUAUAUAUUAUAAGUAGUAUAGUAUGCUAAAUGGUGAUGAGUGCUGUGGAGAUUAUGAAGCAGGGGUGGGGAAUAUGGCCAUAUUUCCCAGGGGGAGAGGUAUUGCAAUUUGAAAUAUGGAGGUAGAUGAAAGCCUCACUCGAAGAUGGUAUUCAAACAGAGAAGGAAAUGAGGUGAUAGGGAGCAAGACAGAGACUGUCUAUGGGAUGAGGCUUCCAGACAGAGGGGAUGAUAAAGUGCAAAGGAACCCAGGCAGAAGCAUGCAUGGGCUGUUCAAAGAACUCAAUUGCAGCUGGAUCAGAGAGGGUGAGGAGAAGAGUAAGAAGAGAUGAAGUGAGAGAGGAAGUGGCCAGGCAGCCUAGCAUUGCGAAGAUCUGUUCACUGCACUGUGAUGCCUGAGCUCACCAAGCUUUGUGCCUUGAUGCAGGAUUGUGUCUGCCUGGAGGAAGAAACAUGUUUAUGGGCUAACAACAAGCUCUGUCUCUCUCGCUCUCACUCUCUCUUUGAGACCAUCUAGCUCCAUUGCCCACGCUGGAGUGUCGUGGCACAA